AGUGAACGCUGGCGGUAGGCCUAACACAUGCAAGUCGAACGGCAGCACAGUAAGAGCUUGCUCUUACGGGUGGCGAGUGGCGGACGGGUGAGGAAUACAUCGGAAUCUACUUUUUCGUGGGGGAUAACGUAGGGAAACUUACGCUAAUACCGCAUACGACCUACGGGUGAAAGCAGGGGAUUUUCGGACCUUGCGCGAUUGAAUGAGCCGAUGUCGGAUUAGCUAGUUGGCGGGGUAAAGGCCCACCAAGGCGACGAUCCGUAGCUGGUCUGAGAGGAUGAACAGCCACACUGGAACUGAGACACGGUCCAGACUCCGACGGGAGGCAGCAGUGGGGAAUAGUGGACAAUGGGCGCAAGCCUGAUCCAGCCAUGCCGCGUGGGUGAAGAAGGGCUUCGGGUUGUAAAGCCCUUUUGUUGGGAUAGAAAAGCAGCAGGUUAAUACCCCGCUGUUCUGACGGUACCCAAAGAAUAAGCACCGGCUAACUUCGUG
rnacentral:rRNA from 1 species